rnacentral:lncRNA from 1 species
CUACAAAUAUGUCAUCUAAAAUCUCCCCUUAAAUUGAAGACAAACUAGCUAUUUAUAGGCCAUGGGUCUUUAUUACACAAUGGACCCAAAAGUGACCCUAAAAGCUAUUGGGCCCAAAAGUGACCCAAAGCCCAAAAUAAUGUCAUGGGCGUCCAUGCUCUCUCGAAGCCCAUGCUAUCUUCCAAACACGUCGUGGCUCAAUGCUCCCGUGGAUGACAUCAUCAAAUGUAGUUUCUCCUGCGCUCCAAGCUAUAAUCCACACACGUAUUUGUUCCCCUAAAACAACCAAAUCUUGGAU